rnacentral:siRNA from 1 species
UUGAAGCGUACUAUGGGCCAUG